CCUACGGGAGGCAGCAGUGAGGAAUAUUGGGCAAUGCCCGCAAGGGUGACCCAGCAACGCCGCGUGGAGGAUGAAGGUCGUAAGAUCGUAAACUCCUGUUAGAGGGGAAGAAUAGCUAAGUUUGGAGCUUAGUAUGACUGUACCCUCAGAGAAAGCCCCGGCUAACUACGUGCCAGCAGCCGCGGUAA
rnacentral:rRNA from 1 species